rnacentral:tRNA from 1 species
GCCGGUGUGAUGCAAUUGGCAGACAUCAACGCCUUAGAAGCGUUGUCUUGGUGGUUCAAAUCCACUCACCGGCA